AUUGAACGCUGGCGGCAGGCCUAACACAUGCAAGUCGAACGGUAGCACAGAGAGCUUGCUCUCGGGUGACGAGUGGCGGACGGGUGAGUAAUGUCUGGGAAACUGCCUGAUGGAGGGGGAUAACUACUGGAAACGGUAGCUAAUACCGCAUAACGUCGCAAGACCAAAGAGGGGGACCUUCGGGCCUCUUGCCCUCAGAUGUGCCCAGAUGGGAUUAGCGAGUAGGUGGGGUAACGGCUCACCUAGGCGACGAUCCCUAGCUGGUCUGAGAGGAUGACCAGCCACACUGGAACUGAGACACGGUCCAGACUCCUACGGGAGGCAGCAGUGGGGAAUAUUGCACAAUGGGCGCAAGCCUGAUGCAGCCAUGCCGCGUGUAUGAAGAAGGCCUUCGGGUUGUAAAGUACUUUCAGCGGGGAGGAAGGCGAUAAGGUUAAUAACCUUGUCGAUUGACGUUACCCGCAGAAGAAGCACCGGCUAACUCCGUGCCAGCCGCCGCGGUAACAC
rnacentral:rRNA from 1 species